UAGCCAGCAGCUCUCUCCCUGAGGGGAUAAGAGGGGACCAGGAGGAGUUCAGCCUCAGGUGCCAGAAUCCCAGCCCCUCACCAUGGCCUGGACCACGCUCCUCCUGGGCCUCCUGGCUCACUGCACAGGUUCUGUAUCUUCCUAUGAGCUGAAUCAGCCGCCUUCAUUUUCUGUGAACCUGGGAGGGGAGGCCAAGAUGACCUGUAGGGGAAACAACAUUGGAAGAAAAGCUGUUCAAUGGUUUCAGCAGAAGCCAGGCCAGGCCCCUGUGCUGGUCAUAUACAGGGAUUACAACCGGCCCUCAGGGAUCCCUGACCGCUUCUCUGGCUCCAACUCUGGGGACACGGCCACGCUGACCAUUAGCAGUGUGCGCACUGAGGAUGAGGCCGACUAUUACUGUCAGGUGUGGGACAGCAACAAUGCUCACAGCGACACAGACUGA